UACGUAGGGUGCAAGCGUUGUCCGGAAUUAUUGGGCGUAAAGAGCUCGUAGGCGGUCUGUCGCGUCUGCUGUGAAAACUCACAGCUUAACUGUGGGCGUGCGGGCGAUACGGGCAGACUUGAGUACUGCAGGGGAGACUGGAAUUCCUGGUGUAGCGGUGAAAUGCGUAGAUAUCUGGAGGAACACCGGUGGCGAAGGCGCAUCCUGGACCGGCAUUGACGCUGAGGCGCGAAAGCCAGGGGAGCAAAGCGGG
rnacentral:rRNA from 1 species